rnacentral:rRNA from 1 species
UGGCGAACGGGUGCGUAACACGUUGGUGACCUGCCUUGAGGAGGGGGACAACCGUGGGAAACCACGGCUAAUACCCCGGAUGUCUAAACUGUUAGAGGGUUUAGACUAAAACUUCGGUGCCUCAAGAGGGGCCUGCGGGCUAUCAGCUUGUUGGUGGGGUAAUGGCCUACCAAGGCUAAGACGGCUAGGGGGCGUGAGAGCGCGAACCCCCACAAAUGGAACUGAGACACGGUCCAUACUCCUACGGGAGGCAGCAGUGAGGAAUAUUGCGCAAUGGGGGAAACCCUGACGCAGCAACGCCGCGUGAACGAUGAAGGCCUUCGGGUCGUAGAGUUCUUUUCUAAGGGAAGAUAGUGACGGUACCUUAGGAAUAAGUCCCGGCUAACUACGUGCCAGCAGCCGCGGUAAAACGUAGGGGGCGAGCGUUAUCCGGAUUUAUUGGGCGUAAAGCGCACGUAGGUGGCGCUGUAAGUUAGACGUGAAAGCUCUCGGCUCAACUGAGAGAGGUCGUUUACAACUGCAGUGCUUGAGGUUAGAAGAGGACAGCAGAAUUCCCGGUUGUAGUGGUGGAAUGCGUAGAUCUCGGGAGGAAUAC